CUGAAGCAACAAAUGCCCUGCUUCCAGGAAAAGCCUCUAAGCAUCAGGUAACAUCAAAUCGUACCCCAAACCGACACAGGUGGUCAGGUAGAGAAUACCAAGGCGCUUGAGAGAACUCGGGUGAAGGAACUAGGCAAAAUGGUGCCGUAACUUCGGGAGAAGGCACGCUGAUAUGUAGGUGAAGUCCCUCGCGGAUGGAGCUGAAAUCAGUCGAAGAUACCAGCUGGCUGCAACUGUUUAUUAAAAACACAGCACUGUGCAAACACGAAAGUGGACGUAUACGGUGUGACGCCUGCCCGGUGCCGGAAGGUUAAUUGAUGGGGUUAGCGCAAGCGAAGCUCUUGAUCGAAGCCCCGGUAAACGGCGGCCGUAACUAUAACGGUCCUAAGGUAGCGAAAUUCCUUGUCGGGUAAGUUCCGACCUGCACGAAUGGCGUAAUGAUGGCCAGGCUGUCUCCACCCGAGACUCAGUGAAAUUGAACUCGCUGUGAAGAUGCAGUGUACCCGCGGCAAGACGGAAAGACCCCGUGAACCUUUACUAUAGCUUGACACUGAACAUUGAGCCUUGAUGUGUAGGAUAGGUGGGAGGCUUUGAAGUGUGGACGCCAGUCUGCAUGGAGCCGACCUUGAAAUACCACCCUUUAAUGUUUGAUGUUCUAACGUUGGCCCCUAAUCGGGGUUGCGGACAGUGUCUGGUGGGUAGUUUGACUGGGGCGGUCUCCUCCUAAAGAGUAACGGAGGAGCACGAAGGUUGGCUAAUCCUGGUCGGACAUCAGGAGGUUAGUGCAAUGGCAUAAGCCAGCUUGACUGCGAGCGUGACGGCGCGAGCAGGUGCGAAAGCAGGUCAUAGUGAUCCGGUGGUUCUGAAUGGAAGGGCCAUCGCUCAACGGAUAAAAGGUACUCCGGGGAUAACAGGCUGAUACCGCCCAAGAGUUCAUAUCGACGGCGGUGUUUGGCACCUCGAUGUCGGCUCAUCACAUCCUGGGGCUGAAGUAGGUCCCAAGGGUAUGGCUGUUCGCCAUUUAAAGUGGUACGCGAGCUGGGUUUAGAACGUCGUGAGACAGUUCGGUCCCUAUCUGCCGUGGGCGCUGGAGAACUGAGGGGGGCUGCUCCUAGUACGAGAGGACCGGAGUGGACGCAUCACUGGUGUUCGGGUUGUCAUGCCAAUGGCACUGCCCGGUAGCUAAAUGCGGAAGAGAUAAGUGCUGAAAGCAUCUAAGCACGAAACUUGCCCCGAGAUGAGUUCUCCCUGACUCCCUGAGAGUCCUGAAGGAACGUUGAAGACGACGACGUUGAUAGGCCGGGUGUGUAAGCGCAGCGAUGCGUUGAGCUAACCGGUACUAAUGAACCGUGAGG
rnacentral:rRNA from 1 species